rnacentral:rRNA from 1 species
UACGGGGGGAGCAAGCGUUGUUCGGAUUUACUGGGCGUAAAGGGCGCGUAGGCGGCCACCGCAAGUCGACUGUGAAAUCUCCGGGCUUAACCCGGAAAGGUCAGCCGAUACUGCGGGGCUAGAGUGCAGAAGGGGCAACUGGAAUUCUCGGUGUAGCGGUGAAAUGCGUAGAUAUCGAGAGGAACACCUGCGGCGAAGGCGGGUUGCUGGGCUGACACUGACGCUGAGGCGCGAAAGCCAGGGGAGCGAACGGG